UACGGGGGGGCAAGCGUUGUUCGGAAUUACUGGGCGUAAAGGGCUCGUAGGUGGCCAACUAAGUCAUACGUGAAAUCCCUCGGCUUAACCGGGGAACUGCGUCUGAUACUGGAUGGCUUGAGGUUGGGAGAGGGAUGCGGAAUUCCAGGUGUAGCGGUGAAAUGCGUAGAUAUCUGGAGGAACACCGGUGGCGAAGGCGGCAUCCUGGACCGGUAUUGACGCUGAGGAGCGAAAGCCAGGGGAGCAAACGGG
rnacentral:rRNA from 1 species